rnacentral:rRNA from 1 species
AUUGAACGCUGGCGGCAGGCCUAACACAUGCAAGUCGAGCGGAGCGGCGGACGGGUGAGUAAUAUAUGGGAAACUGCCUGAUGGGGGGGGAUAACUACAGGAAACGGGCGCUAAUACCGCAUACUAUCAGAUGAGACUAGGUCGGAUUAGCUAGUGGGGGGGGUAAAGGCCUACCAAGGCGACGAUCCGUAACUGGUCUGAGAGGAUGAUCAGUCACACUGGAACUGAGACACGGUCCAGACUCCUACGGGAGGCAGCAGUGGGGAAUAUUGGACAAUGGGCGAAAGCCUGAUCCAGCCAUGCCGCGUGGGUGAAGAAGGUCUUCGGAUUGUAAAGCACUUUAAGUUGGGAGGCGUUACCAACAGAAUAAGCACCGGCUAACUUCGUGCCAGCAGCCGCGGUAAUUC